AUGUUAACAUCUAGAGGCUUUGGAGCUAAAUGGAUCAGGUGGAAUUUGUCCAUUCUACAAAACAGUUCCUUCUAUGUUAAGAUUAAUGAUGUGUUAGGUCCUUAUUUUGUGGGUGGGAAAGGGUUGAAACAAGGAGAUCCUAGCUCCCCUAUGCUUUUCAACCUUGUGGCAGAUGUCUUUUCGCGCAUGCUGAUGAAAGCUGUCAACGGCAACAUCAUUUCUGGGAUUGUUCCUCACAUCAUCCCACGUGGGCUUAUCUGCUUGCAGUAUGCUGACAACACAAUAUUA
rnacentral:rRNA from 1 species